GGCGAACGCUGGCGGCGUGCCUAAUACAUGCAAGUCGAGCGGACCGAAGGGAGCUUGCUCCUUUAGGUUAGCGGCGGACGGGUGAGUAACACGUGGGAAACCUGCCCUGCAGACUGGGAUAACUUCGGGAAACCGGAGCUAAUACCGGAUAACACCGAAAACCGCAUGGUUUUCGGUUGAAAGGCGGCUUUUAGCUGUCACUGCAGGAUGGGCCCGCGGCGCAUUAGCUAGUUGGUGAGGUAACGGCUCACCAAGGCGACGAUGCGUAGCCGACCUGAGAGGGUGACCGGCCACACUGGGACUGAGACACGGCCCAGACUCCUACGGGAGGCAGCAGUAGGGAAUCUUCCGCAAUGGACGAAAGUCUGACGGAGCAACGCCGCGUGAGCGAAGAAGGUCUUCGGAUCGUAAAGCUCUGUUGUCAGGGAAGAACAAGUACCGUUCGAACAGGGCGGUACCUUGACGGUACCUGACGAGGAAGCCACGGCUAACUACGUGCCAGCAGCCGCCGUAA
rnacentral:rRNA from 1 species